AAGAUUACUAAAGCAACAAAGAAACGACUGCUGUCAUCCCACUGUCUUCUGUGUUUUGCCUUUAUAAGCAAAAAUAUUGAAGAUUAUUAAGACAACUUUUCUUCUGUAACUUACUGGAAGAAGAAUGAGGCCAAUAUUCUGUAUGACUGUGCUACUUCAAUAUCAGAAAUCGACUAACACCACGCAACCAACGCAAUGGCAGGUACACAGAAGAUAAUCUGUAACACUACCAUGUAAAUGUAUUGAGUAAAUAAAACAUAAAUAUACCUAA